UAGGAAGCUGGCUUUGCUCACUUGAGGGACUGUCACCCAAGUUAACUUUUCUUUCCUUCUUCAAUUUUUGUCUAUAAAAGAAAGCUAUUUCUCCACUCACCACCCUUCUGACACCAAAUGCGUGGGUUUUUCACACCAAACAAUUCUCCAAUAUUCUGAGAACACUGGCUGAAUGUCCUGUAAUUUAACUGAAUUCUGACCUUGCCCCGAAUCAGCGCAGACCCCACAGAUUAAAGAGAUUGGUCACCUAAGACUGACUCUCCUUCAGAAGCCACGUGUAAGAGACACGGCCUUUCAGGAGGGCCUGCAGAGGCAAACGAGUCUAAGAUUCACGACAUCUCCAGUUCCUUGACACAUGGGAAAGCAGCAGGAACCUAGUGAUGUGGAGGUGGGAGAGGAAGCUUGGAGCAAUUCUAAAUACAGUUCUUCUGAAACUACCGAUAAUGAAGGUACCUAACACUAUUGCAUACAACGUUUGAGCACUACAGUAAUCCCAUGAAAUAGGUUUCUGCAGUGCUGGUCAGGAUGGAGGCACCCCUCACCUUCGCCAUCGCCAGAACAAAAGCCCCAGUGAACCAACCACCAUGUUCCUUCCGAGAGAAAGUCUGUGAUGUUGUCCCUGCUCUUCUUCCCACGUGCGAUGCGUGGGCUCAGCUGAACCAGCACAUGGACUUCCCCUUGACUCUCCGAGGACUAGCAGAUGUCCCAUGGGACCUGUCUGCCUCCAAGAUCUAGUGGAGAUGAUCCCAAAUCCCCAAUCUGCCUUCUACCAAUGGGGGGGCUUCCAGCAAAGUCCUGGGCAUCAAGUUUCUUGCUUCCACUUCAUUACACUCUCUUCAGUUUUUAAAUCUAACCCAGAUGUGGAAUGUAAUAGCUCCAGGCUCCAUGUAACCUCCCCUCCCCACCUUCCCUCAAGGUCAUGUGUAUGGUCCAAGGGUACUGAUGCCUUGGGGAUAUGGAGGAGAUUUACAUCAUUAAAACAA